GACGAACGCUGGCGGCGUGCUUAACACAUGCAAGUCGAACGGCAAGGCCCUGCUUUUUUGGGGUUCUCGAGUGGCGAACGGGUGAGUAACACGUGAGUAACCUGCCCUUCACUUUGGUAUAACUUCAGGUAACUGGGGCUAAUACCGUAUAGGAGCUCCUGCUCCGUGGUGGGGGUUGGAAAGUUUCGGCGGUUGGGGCUGGAUUCGCGGCUUAUCGGCUUGUUGGUUGGGUAGUGGCUUACCAAGGCUUUGACGGGUAGCCGGCCUGGGAGGGUGACCGGCCACAAUGGGACUGAGAGAGGGAGCAGACGGGUACGGGAGACAAUAGUGGGAAGUAUGACCCAACGGGCGGGAGUCUGAGGCAAAGGCGUUGCGGGCGGGAUGACGGCCUGCGGGGUGUGAACAGCUGUAGCCUGAGACGAAGCGUGAGUGACGGUAAUGGGUAAAGAAGCACCGGCUAACUACGUG
rnacentral:rRNA from 1 species